CCUGCUCCCUCGCUCUUCCGUUCACCGUCGUCGCCACGAACGAGAGGUGCGACUCUGCGAGGACAAGCCGCUCCAACUCGCCUGCUCCAGCGGCGUUCCAUUUUGCCCCACCAUCAGUGGACGCGAGGAGCAAGGCUUGUGAUUGCAAGAACCUAUAAAGGGAUCGACUAGAGAGAAGAUGAAGUUAGGCCAUCCAGCAUUGGCCAACAACGAGAUUAAUACAAUGCAAAAGAGUGGUUCUCGAGCGCCAUUGGGAGACAAGACUAACACCACUAAAAAUGCUGACGCUAAAGACCACAAGAGGGAAAAGGAUAGAGCUCGAUGGCAUGCAAUGUCCCAAGAACAGAAGGAUGAAAAGAAUAAGAGGCGACGCGAGUCAUAUCAUAAUAAAAAAAAUAAGCAUCAAGUUACAGAAGCUACCAAUGGUAAAACCAAACUUGAUAUAAAAAAGUUACCAACGAUGAUUCAACUUAAAUUCUGAUUGCAGUGUAUUUUAUUACAAAAAAUGUGCAAAUGGUUUUGUAGAUGAUGAUGUUGCGUCAAAUAAGGAAAAUAUGGAUCCAGCAGAAACAAAUGAUUGGUUGCAUAGAAAUGAUUUGUACGAUCCCUACAACAUCGUUGAUGGUAGUAAUACUAUCUACACGGAAUGACUGUGUGGAUAUGAUUAACAUGAGGAUGAUAAGUCGUUUUCAAGGGGACGAGAUGGUGUACCAUAGCUUUGACUCUGCCGUUGAUGAUCCAAACAACUACUACCCUCCGGAGUUCCUUAACACUUUGACCCCAAAUGGUCUACCUCCACAUGUGUUAAAGCUAAAGAUUGGUUGCCCGGUUAUAUUGCUUAGAACCAUCGACCCCGCAAACGGACUUUGCAAUGGUACGAGGUUGAUCGUACAUGGGUUCCAAAAGAAUACCAUCGAUGCAAAAAUUGUUUUGGGGCAACAUGCUGGAAAACGUGUUUUCUUGCCUCGCAUACCCUUAUGUCCAUCUGAUGACGAGAUGUUCCCUUUCCAUUUCAAGAGAAAGCGGUUUCCCAUUCGACUUAGCUUCGCCAUGACUGUCAACAAAGCACAAGGACAAACUAUUCCAAAUGUCGGACUGUACUUGCCUGAACCAGUGUUCUCACAUGGUCAGUUGUAUGUAGCGCUAUCUAGAGCCACAGCUAGAUCGAACAUCAGGAUCUUGACUGUUCCACCAGUUGAAAAGGAUAUGAAGAAAGGGAAGAAAAAAAAUCACAAUGAAAAAUGGUACAUACACGAAAAAUAUCGUCUAUAAAGAGGUGUUAACUCCAUUACUAAGGAUGCCAAGGCAAGGUAGAGUAAAGGGGUGCUGCUCGGGGCAGGCAAGCCGAUUACAGGGAGCUGAAAUAUCAAACUUGCGGAGCGAAUAGCUUUUGGCCAUCAGAGAUAUAUUUUUAGAACCCUUUUAGAAGUAGAGAAAGUUCUAGCCACUUUAGAUGUUUCGACUAUUCUUAUCUCAAUUGCGUAUUGUUGUUUGGGAACAUUGUUACUAAACUUGAUGUUUAUGUAUUUGAAUGUGGCUCGAAACAUUAUGUUGCUAAGCUAAGUU